rnacentral:rRNA from 1 species
AACGAACGCUGGCGGCAGGCCUAACACAUGCAAGUCGAACGCUUCAGCAAUGAACAGUGGCAGACGGGUGAGUAACGCGUGGGAACCUUCCCAGUGGUACGGAAUAGCCCAGGGAAACUUGGGGUAAUACCGUAUAAGCCCCUAGGGGGAAAGAGUUUAUCGCCAUUGGAUGGGCCCGCGUCGGAUUAGCUUGUUGGUGAGGUAAAAGCUCACCAAGGCGACGAUCCGUAGCUGGUCUGAGAGGAUGAUCAGCCACACUGGGACUGAGACACGGCCCAGACUCCUACGGGAGGCAGCAGUGGGGAAUAUUGGACAAUGGGCGCAAGCCUGAUCCAGCCAUGCCGCGUGAGUGACGAAGGCCCUAGGGUUGUAAAGCUCUUUUGGCGGGGACGAUAAUGACGGUACCCGCAGAAUAAGCUCCGGCUAACUUCGUG